rnacentral:rRNA from 1 species
ACGGGUGAGUAACGCGUAGACAACCUACCUUCUAGAUGGGGACAACACCGCGAAAGUGGUGCUAAUACCGAUUGUUGUAUGAAGAUCACAUGGUUUUCAUACUAAAGAUGGCCUCUAUUUAUAAGCUAUCGCUAGAAGACGGGUCUGCGUCUGAUUAGCUAGUAGGCGGGGUAAAAGCCCACCUAGGCGACGAUCAGUAGCCGGUCUGAGAGGAUGAACGGCCACACUGGGACUGAGACACGGCCCAGACUCCUACGGGAGGCAGCAGUGGGGAAUCUUCCGCAAUGGACGAAAGUCUGACGGAGCAACGCCGCGUGAGUGAUGAAGGCCUUCGGGUUGUAAAGCUCUGUUAUCGGGGAAGAACACUUUCUAUGUGAAUAAUGUAGGGAGUUGACGGUACCCGAGGAGGAAGCCACGGCUAACUACGUGCCAGCAGCCGCGGUAAUACGUAGGUGGCGAGCGUUGUCCGGAAUUAUUGGGCGUAAAGCGCGCGUAGGCGGGAAAGUAAGUCUACUCUAAAAGUGCGGGGCUCAACCCCGUAAUGGGGUGGAAACUGCUUUUCUUGAGUGCCGGAGAGGAAAGCGGAAUUCC